GCGCCACACACGUCUCGUGGUGACCAGGAACCCGGUGCAAGUCCGGGGCGGUUCCGCCACUGUGAGCCCGCAGCAGCACCGCGGGCGUAGCCAGACACUGGCCACGGGACCUCCGUCGAG
rnacentral:ncRNA from 2 species